rnacentral:rRNA from 1 species
UACGGGGGGGGCAAGCGUUGUUCGGAAUUACUGGGCGUAAAGGGCUCGUAGGUGGCCAACUAAGUCAUACGUGAAAUCCCUCGGCUUAACCGGGGAACUGCGUCUGAUACUGGAUGGCUCGAGUUUGGGAGAGGGAUGCGGAAUUCCAGGUGUAGCGGUGAAAUGCGUAGAUAUCAAGAGGAACACCUGAGGUGAAGACGGGUUGCUGGGCCAACACUGACGCUGAGGCGCGAAAGCCAGGGGAGCAAACGGG